UACGAAGGGGGCUAGCGUUGUUCGGAAUUACUGGGCGUAAAGCGUAUGCAGGCGGACUUUUAAGUCGGGGGUGAAAUCCCGAGGCUCAACCUCGGAACUGCCUUCGAUACUGGAAGUCUUGAGUCCGGGAGAGGUGAGUGGAACUCCGAGUGUAGAGGUGAAAUUCGUAGAUAUUCGGAAGAACACCAGUGGCGAAGGCGGCUCACUGGCUCGAUACUGACGCUGAGGUGCGAAAGCGUGGGGAGCAAACAGG
rnacentral:rRNA from 1 species